UAGGGGAUAUUGGUAAUGUGCGAAAGCGCGAACCAGCAACGCCGCGUGCACGAUGAAGGCCUUCGGGUCGUAAAGUGCUUUUAGAGAGGAUGAGGAAGGACAGUACUUUCUGAGUAAGCCUCGGCUAACUACGUGCCAGCAGCCGCGGUAAAACGUAGGAGGCAAGCGUUAUCCGGAUUUACUGGGCGUAAAGCGCAUGCAGGUGGUUUUGUAAGUUGGAUGUGAAAGCUCCUGGCUUAACUGGGAGAGGUCGUUCAAAACUACAAGACUUGAGAUUGGUAGAGGAAAAUGGAAUUCCGGGUGUAGUGGUGAAAUGCGUAGAUAUCCGGAGGAACACCAGUGGCGAAAGCGGUUUUCUGGACCAAUUCUGACACUCAGAUGCGAAAGCUAAGGUAGCAAACGGGAUUAGAGACCCCGGUAGUCUUAGCUGUAAACGAUGUGAACUUGGCGUCGGUGGGUUUAAAUCCAUCGGUGCCGAAGCUAACGCGAUAAGUUCACCGCCUGGGGGACUAC
rnacentral:rRNA from 1 species